rnacentral:lncRNA from 1 species
AACUAUACAAUGUAAAUUCUCUUUCUUUCUUCAUUGUUUGCACCAAUUUCUUCUGUUGAAUGAAGAUGCUAUAAUAGUCUGAGAGUUGUCUAAGUUCUUGUACUGUCAUGGUGGCAUGUGCUAACUAGGGAUAAGUAGUUCUAAGUUUCGUACAAAUUCUACCUAAAACCUUAAACUUAUCCGUUAGAACAUAUUCAUCAUUUUCAGAAACUUGAAACCUGCCUUGCAUACCCUGAAACCUACCUUGUCAUAGAUUUCAAGAUCUACCUAGUUUCCAUCUUUAUUAUUAAUUGAAUAAUUAUAGUAAAUUGUUACUUUAAUAACUAUCACUUGCUGUUACAAUUCACCGAUCACAACUUAUAUUUAGACUCAAAUAACAUAAAACAUUAAGUAAGUAAAAGUCUUAGUCAUAAAAUAGAAGUUCGGAUUUGUCAUGUCCUGAACCCCAGGUAAGUGCACAUUUCUCGGCGAUCGAUUAAAAAUGUGACUUCCCAAGACGCGUCGUUGACCCUUUCUUUUUUUAUUUCAAUUAAGCACCUGCGAAAGCGAAUUAAAUACAACACCCAGUCAAUCAUCAGAAACAGGGAUAGUAAAAACACGUCACAAAAGUUGCCGAAAACAACUUAUUUAUUCAACCAUUGUUGUCCCUAGGGAGUUUAAUGAUUUACAGGCCUUUCUAUGGCUACUUCCUAUUGACCCACCAUACAAAACUCACCUCGCCUCAGUGCGUACCUGCAUGUUAGCUCAUCACACAUGCUAUUAUCAAUGCAACAAGCGUAAUUUAAUAACCAUAACACACAUUUCACUCUUCAAACAUUCACAUGGUUCCCGAUUAUAAGGCCAAACCAUUAUGACACGUCCCAUAUCAUGCCAUAUAAUUUUGUCCCAUAAUCAAGUGCAGCUAUUACAACCACUCAGGCAUGUUCCAAUUAUUACGACCCAUUGGCCACGGCCAACUCGAAAGUCGGUGGUCAUCCGGUGUAAUCGGGCAUUGUCCUGCCCCGUCGAGCACGGCAUCGUCCAGAACCCCCGCCUAGAAGGCAAUCCACAUAGGAGUUUCGUUCCAAAAUUCAUCCGUGAACGGCAACGUCUAGCAUCCUUCGCCUAGACGGCAUUCCACACAACACCAAAAUCCAUUUUAAAGCAAUAAACCUUGCACCUUUUUUUUUUAAUAUGACUGUGGCCUCGCUGUCGACAGUAGCUAUGCGUAAACCACAGGGGGUGCUAGCGCAGGGACCCACCUCCCAUGGCUCCCCACUUUAGUCGUGCAUUAUGACAAGUUGGGGAAUCGAACCUCGCCUUGCGUGUGGCCAACGUGCGAUUCCACCAACUCGGCCACCAUGGGGUGGGUUCACCCUUUUCUUUUGUCCAAACUUUUCAAAAUAAAUUCGUAGGUACUUGCGUACUCAAAAUUAAUCCGUCAAACUUUGCACACACCUAAUUUAAAACCUCAUUGUUUUAUUGAGCAAAUAAGUUUAGGUGUCCAAACCCAACACCUAAAUUUUCUUUCUAUUUAAAUGCCCAAAGGCCAUCUCUUGCAAUCAUAAUAAACAAUCAUCAUAGAACAACCAUCCUCAUAAUAUCACGCAUGAGUUCUCAGCAUACCAAACAUCAACCAAAUCACAACAUAUUCAUUUCCCAACAAGCGAGAUACCCAGAACAACUACAAAACCACAACUGUCGCCAAUUGGCAACAACCGGGUCCACUUACGUGUCUCUACAAUUAAUUCCGAAAACCUAACGAAAUGAGUUCAUAAAAUUUUCAAAUUUGAAUCUGUUAUAAAAGACACUUAGACAAAUAUUUUUCAUGAGACACAUUGACCCAAAUCUUUCUAGAAUAAGAGUAGUAAAUCACCCAAACCGUUACCAAAACUGUAUCCGUAUCCAGAAAUUCUGUUUUCCAAAAUCAGUUUGGUUCGAGGUCUAAAACUUGUCCGUUUGAUCUGAAAUUUGACUAUGUUAAACUACAAGAUGUGAUGAAAAACUUUUCUGAAUGAACUUUUUCGAAAAUUGAAUCCUAAGAGUUAAUAAAAAUCCUUUAAACACCAAAAGGUCAUUAAUUCCAACACCAAUUGAGAUUCUGCUUUGCCUAUAAUGAAGCUGAAAUUCUAUUCUUUUAAAACCAUAAAAUCUUGAAUAAAAUAUACAUCAUAGCUGAAAAUGUUUAAAACCUUUUCCAAAAAGGAAGCAACAUCAAAAUCGUUGUACAUUUUAAUCCCCGAAAAUAACAAACAGCGAGCGUCCAGUUAAUAGAUUUGAAGUUAAGCUAAUCCAACUUAACACUAAUCUAAUCAAGCUAAUUAACACUAAUCUAACCAAGUUAAUUAACACUAAUCUAAUCCCCUGAAUGUAAUUAACAAUAUAAUAAAGGAUUAGGGAGUUAACUCACCAGAGUUCAACAGUGGCGAGCUUACGGCAAUAGCAACGCGACGACGGUGAGAACCUGAGACUAUCAUGUCUCAACGGAGGCUCGAUCGAGGCUGAAAUCAGCUCAGCAAAUCUCGGCCAAGGCUAGGCGGUUCUGUGGGCUGAGGUUGAGUUGGUGUGGCUGUGCGUGAGAUGGGGGGAGGCGUGAGGCGAUGAGCUGGUGUGAAGUUGGGCACCGAUGGUGGAUGAUACAUCACAACAAACCAAGGGAAAUGGAACUGAGUGGAGAGGAAAUGGAAGAAGUGGGGGUCGGCAGCAGGGAAAGGGGAUGAAGAAAGGUGAAGGAAGAAAAUAAGAAGAGAAGCAUAAGGGAAAAUGGGCAGAAGCAAGCUGGUCGGCUGAAGGGUUCGCGUAUGGGGGGUGAAAUUGGAGAGAAAGAGAGGGAAUUGGAGAGAGGGAGAGAACAAGAAGGUCAAGGGGAGGGCCA